CCCUUAGAUGUCCUGGGCUGCACGCGCGCUACACUGGAAGUUACGGAUUGAGAUACUACCUUGUCCGAAAUGGUCCGGGUAAUCACCUAAAAGCUUGUCAUAAUUGGAAUGGAUUAUUGUAACUAGUAAUCCUGAACGAGGAAUUCCUAGUAAGUCCCAGUCAACAGCUGGUACUGAUUACGUCCCUGCCCUUUGUACACACCGCCCGUCGCUACUACUGAUUGGACGUUUAGGCAAGAUUUUUAAACACUGACAGUGUGUAGUUCACGCUAUACUACAGUGAGAAGAAGAAGAUCGAGCUUACUUGUCUAGAGGAAGUAAAAGUCGUAACA
rnacentral:rRNA from 1 species